AGUGAACGCUGGCGGUAGGCCUAACACAUGCAAGUCGAACGGCAGCACAGUAAGAGCUUGCUCUUACGGGUGGCGAGUGGCGGACGGGUGAGGAAUACAUCGGAAUCUACUUUUUCGUGGGGGAUAACGUAGGGAAACUUACGCUAAUACCGCAUACGACCUACGGGUGAAAGCAGGGGAUCUUCGGACCUUGCGCGAUUGAAUGAGCCGAUGGCGGAUUAGCUAGUUGGCGGGGUAAAGGCCCACCAAGGCGACGAUCCGUAGCUGGUCUGAGAGGAUGAUCAGCCACACUGGAACUGAGACACGGUCCAGACUCCUACGGGAGGCAGCAGUGGGGAAUAUUGGACAAUGGGCGAAAGCCUGAUCCAGCCAUACCGCGUGGGUGAAGAAGGCCUUCGGGUUGUAAAGCCCUUUUGUUGGGAAAGAAAAGCAGCAGGUUAAUACCCCGCUGUUCUGACGGUACCCAAAGAAUAAGCACCGGCUAACUUCGUG
rnacentral:rRNA from 1 species